rnacentral:lncRNA from 1 species
AUGGUUUUACAUACAGUAGGGUACAAGAGGGCUGAGCUUUCUCUGGCUGGGAAAAGCACAAACCGAGCAAUGCCCAGCCUUGAUUUCACUAAUGUUCUUCUCCCACUGUGUCAUCAUCUGCAAGGCCCAGGCCUGUGGGGCCAUCAGCCGGUUACUGCCUCUUGCCCUUCCAUUCCCAGAUGGCUCCGUAAACCUGUGGAGAUCUCAAUCAUCACAUCCUCACAGUGGACGCCCGGGUCUCUUGAACUCAAGGCCCCUGUGCCACCAUUCCCUGGAAGACACAGAUGGUCCAGGGUCGAAGGACAGCUCUGCCCCACAGAAGGCAUCCCUCAGAGGCACUGGUAUCAGACACUGGAUGUGAGCAGACCUGCCCCUGAACCCGGGUAAGGCACUCUGGAGACUCCCAGGAAUCCUGGUGAAAACUCUGCCCAGGCUUCACAUCACUGGUCUCCCCCAGGGACGUAUACCCUCAGGCUGCUGCAGCCUGGAGACAUCUGGGGUAAACGGAGGAGGCUGCCAUGUUCCUUUCCAAGGUAGUGAGGAAGCCCGGAUUUGCUCUGAGGAAUUCAAGGGAUUGGGGAUGAUUAAAACCGUCACAGCGGUCCUACAUUUUGCAGAGCAAGCUAGAGAAAUACAAAAGCAGCUUUCUUUCUCUUCAACAGUGACAGCACAACAAAUCUGGCAGGAGAGGACAUGGGGGAUACAAAUGGCAAGUGUCAGAAUGUUAGAAGAUUCCAUGAAGCGUGUGCUACGAAUGAGACAGAAAAGAAUGUGGAGGCUUUGCUCAUUUUUGCUCCUUCUCAUUGAAUCUUAAUUCUCCACUUAAUUAUCAUCCAUUUGAAAUUAAAUUCCCCGUGAGAAGAACUUCCAGUGGAGGAACUAUGUCCAGAUGACCCUGCCAGGGGCCCACUCGACCCAACUACACCAAUUGCCUGGGUUUAAUCGUAGGCUCACAACAUGCAUAAAUAGGUAAGUGUUCACUCCAGGAACUCUAGCUGUGUUACUGCCAAGUCAUUUACAUAAUAAUUUCCAUGCCAUUUCCACCUGACUCUACACUUUUUAUGCAUUCAGACAGGAUUACAGCAUUCUCGAAAUCUUUAAAAUGCAGAAGGGAGAGAAAAAGGCAGGGCAGAGUGAGAGAAAGAGAAUUAAUUUCUGGAAGGGCCACAGGUUUUCCUGCCCCACUGUGUACUCUGCUGUCAUUGCUGCUCCUCUUUUCAGUGGGAGCUUGCCUCGUUUCCCCUAAGUUCAGUCAUGCUUAUAAAGUCCAGGCUCCCCGCCCCCCACACACACACCCAAUUCUUCAAUUCAGCUCCUAUAACCUUUCCCUCCAUUGACUUCUGACUGCCCCCACUGCCCACUGUGCUGGCCACUCCUCAAGUCUCCUCUUAUUAUUUCCUGCCAUCAGCAUUUCCUGUGUCUGAAUUUCCUACAUGCUGUGCCCCCUCUGAUGUUGUUUUUUCUCUGAAAAUCAACGCCCCGCUGGCUUUGGGAUCCAGCUCAAGGCCUACUUCCUCCUUGAAUGUUUCCGACAUCGGCUACUUUUUGGGUCAGUUUUGUUCAUGGAUACUCCUAUAGUGCCUGAAACAUGGUAGCUGCUAAGUAAACAUUUGUCGGAUGAACAGAAAGCUAAGUCUGCUCCCCACUCAGUCCCCCUGCCGGCUACUGUAGUUCCUACUACCUGCUCUUACAUCCUUCCUGGUUUGUUGCCUCCUCUGACCAGGCAGCCAUUACACAUUUUGUUUAUCUUAUCUCCAGGAAACUGCUGGAUCACAUUAUUCAGUUACACUCUCAGCUGCAAACUUUAUUUUCAAAUUCUUUAGCAUCCCCAAUGUAAUAAGUCCAUGUGUCAAUUCUUAUCCUCCCCUACUCCCAGACAUAGGAGUGGGGUAGAGUGAACUCUAUAAUCAGGCACCUACAUACCACAAGCCUUCAGCCACCAUUACAUAUAUUACAGAACCCUUAAGGGGUACAAGAAGUUAUUUUUCACCCACAAGACACGUGAUGUUGAAGCUAUGUGAACACCGCCUUUGCUUACGCACAUCUCCAACUGGCAUCUCGCUCUCAGAACACUGCACCAGCUUCUUCAAUUCCCUGACCUUCCUUUUCUUGCCUGGUCCUGCCCCAAGUCCCAUCACGCAAACGGAUAUUUAUAAACACAAAGCGAAUUAGUCAUCUCUCUCUCUGAAAGCUCAUUGCGCAGCACCUGGAGUUUCAAGGCCACUGACAAUUUGUCACCUGCACACCCCUCGAGUGUCACCUUUUCAACAUUCACAACCUCCCUCCCCCCACCCCCAUACACCAUUUUAUACUCCAUGCCCACUGUUGGGUGGACCAAGUCUGGGGACUCAGAUGAAUACAAUUUCUCACUUUACUUGGCAUUUGCUGAAGAAGGAAUAAUGACCUAUGUCUACAGGGAUGUUUCAGAAAUUCACAGGAUAAUGAAAUGAAGGUAAAUGUAUUUUGGUGCAAAAAACUUUGAAAUCCAUGCAUAGUUUUUAUGUCAUAAUGCAUAUUUUUAUGAACUUUUUGAGACCUCUCAAAGGUAUGGAUCUAUAAAGCCACCUCACCUAAAAGAAGAAAUCGUUUUCUCGCUGCUAGAUCCUCCCUGCAGGGAUUUCAAUGUAUCCAUCAGGGAUUCUAUAAAUUCCAUUUCUUAAAGAUUGGAAAAUAAGGUGAUUAGAAAAGGACUGGUGAGCCGACAGAAAGGCUUAAGAAUGAUUCUUAUAUAUAAGGGGACUUUAAAACAUUCAUGGAAAAUGGAAUUAAUGGAGAAGUUAACUCUGAUACAAACUUUUUUUGAAAUCUAUGCAUAUAAGCAGUCUUAAAAAGUUCAUGAAAAUACAUAUUAUGAAAAAAAUCAUGCCUGGUUUUAAAAAUAAAUUUAUCUUUGAAUUCUAUUGCCA